UAAAUUAAAAACUUUCAUUGUAUUUUCAUUUUUUUUAAUCAACCCAAACUAAAAUACUAAAAAAUAAAACUUACGAGCCUAGAUUAAGGUUUACUGAAUCUAAUGAGACCAAAAUUGUCUAUUAUUGUAAACGUUGGGGGGUA